AGGAGGAACAGCCCCAGUGGCGGGGCAGCUCUGGAAACCUGGAUUCAGCUCCGGCAGGAACUCCGUCUGCAGGGACUGGAGGCUCCGGGGCGGG
rnacentral:pre_miRNA from 1 species